CUACCAAUACUACCGAAAAUACCCAAAAUGUGCCUAGAGUUUCGGAAGUUGAUGCGGAAACCAAAGCCUUUGUAGAGGACAUGAAUGAGAAUUGGCACUUAAGAAAGGGGAAGCAACAAAAAAAUAGUACUAAUUAUGAUAAUGAAAAGGGCAUAAUAAAGAUGAAUGAGAAUGAGAGUUCGCUGUAUAGUUUGGACAAUAUAAAGAAGGGAAAAAUAGUACUAAUGAUGAUAAUGAAAAGGGCAUAAUAAAGAUGAAUGAGAAUGAGAGUUCGCUGUAUAGUUUGGAGAAUAUAAAGAGGGAUUAUAGGUUGAAGAAGCAGAGAAUACAUGCGGGCUUGU
rnacentral:lncRNA from 1 species